AUUGAACGCUGGCGGCAGGCCUAACACAUGCAAGUCGAGCGGUAACACAGGGAGCUUGCUCCUGGGUGACGAGCGGCGGACGGGUGAGUAAUGUCUGGGAAACUGCCUGAUGGAGGGGGAUAACUACUGGAAACGGUAGCUAAUACCGCAUAAUGUCGCAAGACCAAAGAGGGGGACCUUCGGGCCUCUUGCCAUCAGAUGUGCCCAGAUGGGAUUAGCUAGUAGGUGGGGUAACGGCUCACCUAGGCGACGAUCCCUAGCUGGUCUGAGAGGAUGACCAGCCACACUGGAACUGAGACACGGUCCAGACACCUACGGGAGGCAGCAGUGGGGAAUAUUGCACAAUGGGCGCAAGCCUGAUGCAGCCAUGCCGCGUGUAUGAGGAAGGCCUUCGGGUUGUAAAGUACUUUCAGCGGGGAGGAAGGCGUUGAGGUUAAUAACCUCAGCGAUUGACGUUACCCGCAGAAGAAGCACCGGCUAACUCCGUGCCAGCAGCCGCCGUAA
rnacentral:rRNA from 1 species